UACGGAGGGGGCGAGCGUUAUUCGGAAUUAUUGGGCGUAAAGGGCGCGUAGGCGGCUGUACAAGUCAAAGGUGAAAUCCCUCGGCUCAACUGAGGAACUGCCUUUGAAACUGUACGGCUUGAGGCCGGGAGGGGGUAGCGGAAUUCCCAGUGUAGCGGUGAAAUGCGUAGAUACUGGGAGGAACACCAGUGGCGAAGGCGGCUACCUGGACCGGUACUGACGCUGAGGCGCGAAAGCGUGGGGAGCAAACAGG
rnacentral:rRNA from 1 species